CUGGUAUUCUAAUAUAGAGUUUGAGUUUCGGCCUCAAUUAGUUGUAGAAUAGUCUACUACCAGU
rnacentral:tRNA from 1 species